CAAAAUUAUUUUUAAUAAUAUAUUAGAAAUGAAAGGUUAUUCGUUUUUAAAGGUAUCUAGUUCUUUAAGAAAUAAAUUUAAUUUAGAAAUUUUAUAUUAUUUAAUUUAAUUUAUUAAUUAAAUAAUUAUUUAAUUUUAAUAUUUUAUGGGAUAAGCUAUAAAAUAAAAUAUUAAAAAUUAUUAAAUAAUUUUAAUAAAUAUAAAUUUAGAAAUAGUUAUUAUUAAUAAAAAUGUUAUAAUUUAUUUUUAAAUUUUUAUUAUUUAUUUAUAUUUUAAUUAUAUAUUAAAGUAUUUAUUUUAAUUUUAUAAAUAAAAAAAUAAUGAUAAAAUUAGUAUAUAAAUUUGUAUAAAUAAAUUAUUAUGACAAGUUUUUAUAAAGAAUUCGGCAAAAAUAAUAUUCGCCUGUUUAACAAAAACAUGUCUUUAUGAAUUAUUUUUAAAGUCUAACCUGCCCACUGAAUAUUUUUAAAUGGCCGCAGUAUUUUGACUGUGCAAAGGUAGCAUAAUCAUUAGUCUUUUAAUUGAAGGCUGGAAUGAAUGGUUGGACGAGAUAUUAACUGUUUCAUAUAAAUUUUUAUUAGAAUUUUAUUUUUUAGUAAAAAAGCUAAAAUUUAUUUAAAAGACGAGAAGACCCUAUAAAUCUUUAUAUUUAAUUUAUGAUAAUUUUAUAGAAUUAUUUUAUUAUUAUAAUUUAUAAUAUUUUGUUGGGGUGAUGUUAAAAUUUGUUAAACUUUUAAUAAUUUAUUAUCAUUAAUUUAUGAAUAAAUGAUCCAUUAUUAGUGAUUAAAAAAACAAGUUACUUUAGGGAUAACAGCGUAAUUUUUUUGAAGAGUUCUUAUCAAUAAAAAAGAUUGCGACCUCGAUGUUGGAUUAAGAUAUAAUUUUAGGUGUAGUUGCUUAAAUUUUAAGUCUGU
rnacentral:rRNA from 1 species